rnacentral:rRNA from 1 species
GUGGGGAAUCUUCCGCAAUGGACGAAAGUCUGACGGAGCAACGCCGCGUGAGUGAAGAAGGUUUUCGGAUCGUAAAGCUCUUUCGUUAGGGACGAACGUGCUCUUUGUGAAUAAUGAGGAGUAAUGACGGUACCUAAAUAAGAAGCCACGGCUAACUACGUGCCAGCAGCCGCGGUAAUACGUAGGUGGCAAGCGUUGUCCGGAAUUAUUGGGCGUAAAGCGCGCGCAGGCGGGAUAUCAAGUCUGUCUUAAAAGUGCGAGGCUCAACCUCGUGAGGGGACAGAAACUGGUAUUCUUGAGUGUCGGAGAGGAAAGUGGAAUUCCAAGUGUAGCGGUGAAAUGCGUAGAGAUUUGGAAGAACACCAGUGGCGAAGGCGACUUUCUGGACGAUGUCUGACGCUGAGGCACGAAAGCUAGGGGAGCGAACGGGAUUAGAUACCCUAGUAGUCC